GGGAGUUAUGAAAUGUAGAUUCGCUAAUAUCGGGUCUAUUUGACGAAGGCUCCAAAGGAAGCCACGGCUAACUCUGUGCCAGCAGCCGCGGUAAUACAGAGGUGGCAAGCGUUGUUCGGAAUUAUUGGGCGUAAAGAGCACGUAGGAGGAUUUGUAAGUCAGAUGUGAAAGCCUUCUGUUCAACGGGAGAAUUGCAUCUGAAACUUCAGACCUUGAGUAUAGGAGGGGAGAGUG
rnacentral:rRNA from 1 species